AGUGAACGCUGGCGGUAGGCCUAACACAUGCAAGUCGAACGGCAGCACAGUAAGAGCUUGCUCUUACGGGUGGCGAGUGGCGGACGGGUGAGGAAUACAUCGGAAUCUACUUUUUCGUGGGGGAUAACGGAGGGAAACUUACGCUAAUACCUCAUACGACCUACGGGUGAAAUCAGGGGAUCUUCGGACUUUGCGCGAUUGAAUGAGCCGGUGUCGGAUUAGCUAGUUGGCGGGGUAAAGGCCCACCAAGGCGACGAUCCGUAGCUGGUCUGAGAGGAUGAUCAGCCACACUGGAACUGAGACACGGUCCAGACUCCUACGGGAGGCAGCAGUGGGGAAUAUUGGACAAUGGGCGCAAGCCUGAUCCAGCCAUACCGCGUGGGUGAAGAAGGCCUUCGGGUUGUAAAGCUCUUUUGUUGGGAAAGAAAAGCAGCAGGUUAAUCCCCCGCUGUUCUGACGGUACCCAAAGAAUAAGCACCGGCUAACUUCGUG
rnacentral:rRNA from 1 species